AAACCUGGAACGAUUGAUUGCCGGCAUAGGCACCAAUGACUGACAUCAUAUUCACGAUCCGCAUCGGCAU
rnacentral:sRNA from 1 species